CAAAGAGAGGCUCUGCCUCCGUGCGGCUGUCUGUUUGGGAAUCCUGAAUGUUUUACUUUUGGCUGAACUCAUCGCCCUCAGUGUACACACUCAUGACAUGACAGCAGAUUUUUCUGACAUCAGCAACAUUCUGACCGAGCAGAACAGCAGCAGCGAGUUUCCCUCCAGGAACGCUAACUUCACUGAAACGGCUCCACGAGCUGAAGACACUUUAAGGGAAAUUGUGUCCUACAGAACGAACAAACAUCAGUUGUUCCUGUUCAUCCAGGGGCUGCGGAAGAAGAGAAGAGCAGAUCCACUAGUGAUGGACGAUUAGGAUCUGUGUUCACUGUGAUAUUAUUCACCAACAA